UACGUAGGGGGCGAGCGUUAUCCGGAUUUACUGGGUGUAAAGGGAGCGUAGACGGUUUUUCAAGUCUGAAGUGAAAGCCCGCGGCUCAACUGCGGAACGGCUUUGGAAACUGAGGGACUAGAGUGCUGGAGGGGCAGGCGGAAUUCCUGGUGUAGCGGUGAAAUGCGUAGAUAUCAGGAGGAACACCGGUGGCGAAGGCGGCCUGCUGGACUGCAACUGACGUUGAGGCCCGAAAGCGUGGGGAGCAA
rnacentral:rRNA from 1 species